rnacentral:rRNA from 1 species
UCGGGAAUUUUGGGCAAUGGGCGAAAGCCUGACCCAGCAACGCCGCGUGAAGGAUGAAGUAUUUCGGUAUGUAAACUUCGAAAGAAUAGGGAGAAUAAAUGACGGUACUAUUUAUAAGGUCCGGCUAACUACGUGCCAGCAGCCGCGGUAAUACGUAGGGACCAAGCGUUGUUCGGAUUUACUGGGCGUAAAGGGCGCGUAGGCGGCAAUUCAAGUCAUCUGUGAAAUCUCCGGGCUUAACUCGGAACGGUCAGAUGAUACUGCUUUGCUAGAGUGCAGAAGGGGCAAUCGGAAUUCUUGGUGUAGCGGUGAAAUGCGUAGAUAUCAAGAGGAACACCUGAGGUGAAGACGGGUUGCUGGGCUGACACUGACGCUGAGGCGCGAAAGCCAGGGGAGCAAACGGGAUUAGAUACCCUUGUAGUCCCUGAGCGGGCUGGCAAGGCGCAU